GAGGCUUCCAAACAGUGGCUGUGCUCACUACACUCCUCCACUCACUGUCUGCUGUUCACCCACACAGGCCAACACUGACUGACCUCCUGGGUGGCUGCACAAAUACCACUCAGGCUUUCAAGACCCUCAACCUCACUAGGACCUUUCUAUAGAAAACGAGUCAACUCCACCGCAUAUAGCUUGAACACCUCACCACUGCAUACCGCACCUUUGGGGCACUAGAAGCUGUGACACACAGCCUGCACGGCCCCAACAAACCACCAAGAAGACAUACAGCAGUGUUGACUGUUAAUCAUUAACAACGAUUUCUGCACUAAGAGCCCCAGGUAUUAUAGGAAUCUCUUUUAACCCUUGCUCUGAAGUCAGUGAUGGAAAGCCUCAGUGACUCUGAUCCUGAUUUUUGGGAACUGGGAGGCAAGGGAGAAGGCAGUUCAAGCCAAGGGAGAAGAGGACACCACCGGAGAAGCAAAGGGUUCCGGACCUUCCCUCCAAGUGAGCAAGAGCAUGACAGAGUAGUUGGAGGGAGCUCUGAUGCCAUGGAGGAUCCCAAGAUGAUCCAAGAUUAUGACAGCAAGACAAAAAGUUUUGACAGUGACCAUAUCAGUAAUGAUGACAGUGAUGAUGAUCAUGAAAUAGAUGAGAGUAAUGAUGAGGCUAAGAAUGAGAACGAUAAAGAAGAGGAAAAGGUUGACUCCACUGAUGAUGAACAUUGUGGCAAUAAUUGGGAAAGAGAGGAGGGGAGUGGUGGCAACAGUAGUAGCAACAGCAAAUCCAGUAAGCGUACAAGUAUCCUCACAGGGUCAGACCUUCCACAAGACUCACCUAAAGAUGAUACCCUCAGCAAAGAUUCCUCAAAGAGCUCCAAAGGAUCUACCAAUCCAUCUCAGUGGGUGGUAGAACAGUAUCUCCUUACACCACAGCAGAAGCUCAAGCUAGCUCUGUAUGAUGGAAGGAAACUUUUUGCAGCAGGAGAAGGUGACGGAGCUGUGAGGGAGUUUGUGCGAGCCAGGGCGCUGGCACGAGUGGUACAUGGGGACCAACAUUGGCGUUACUGCAGGUGCAAGGUGUUCCUGGCAAAGAGCUACCUCUAUCUCAAGGAAUAUGCACUGCAGGCAGAGGCACAGGCUAAAGAGGCUCUGGAAAUUCUCAGGACUCAUCUCUCAACACAUCUGGCACCCACAAAGAAACCUCAGGUGCAUCACACCCUUCUGUGGGGUUAUCUAGUGUGUGGAGAGGCUCGCAUCCGCCUAGGUCAAUUAGCUGGGGCCCAGGAGUCUCUGGCUCGUGCUCUCUACCACACUCGCAUAUAUGCCAAAAUGGUGAUGCGGUGGAAGAAACAGCUCAACCCUUCCCUCACUAUAGAUCUUCCUCUAGAUUUACAAGUGAAAGUUCUCUGUGCACAGGCAGCUCUCUAUACUAAACAAAAGAAACUCACCAAGGCUAAGGAGAAACUUCAAUCAAGUAUUAGCCUAAUAGAGAAAAAAGGGUCAGGUCCAGAAGACCCCUGCUUAGUGACUCCCCUCCAGCAACUCGGCCAGCUGCUUCUUGAACACCCACAGACAACCCAGGACAACCAGACUGGCCUUAACCUUCUAACUCGUGUGGUGCACAUCACCCAAGUGAGCAAUCGUCCUGGCAGUGUAGCAGAGUGUGAGGCACGUGGCCUUUUGUUAGAACAUCGGCUCCAUCUGCGCUGCAUAGAAACUCAAGAAGCCUUAAGGGAAUUGCACAAACUUGGCCUCCUCUUCUCUCGCCUACAUGGAGAGCACAGCCCUCGCACAGCUGCAAUUCAUAACAUGACUGUUCAGGUACUGGUGCAGGAGGAAAAUUAUCCAGAAGCCAUAAAGCACCUCAUGUCCAAUCUCAAGCACUGUAAGGAGGUUCAUGGAGACUUCACCCCACAGGUCUGUGGAGUGCUGAGGCAGCUAUCCAGGGUGCAUGCUCUUGCUGGAGACCUGGGUAGGGCAGCACUGGCUCUGGACCAAUGCCUACAAGCAGAGACCCUCCUCUAUGGCACUUCUUCUCGUCGUGCUCAAGCUUCUCGCCUAAGGCUACAAGAAAUGAUACAGUUAAAAAACUUCCUCUGUCAUUGAGAAAGCGGAUGUGCAGAAGACACCCAGAUCUGCAAAACAAACCACGCUUCCACAAUUUAUAGGAUAUGGAAGCUGGACAAUGGGAUGACAGGACAGCGAUGGCCACUCCUCGAUAUGCGGGUCCACCAGGCACCACCGCCUCCUAUGAUGAACCUGUCGCCCCAGCACUGACUGUCACUGUCCCUGUGAGGGACUGUGGCAUACAGACCUGGGGCACUGAUAGAUCUAUUGUUUGAAUGGGGGUGUUGAAAAAUUUCACCAAGGCUUGUCAACAUAAUCUCAAAACUGGCUCAUGCUACAUUUCUUUUUCCUGGAGCCCUGUGUUUCCCAAAUUACCAUAGAUAUUGUAUUGUGUUCAAUAUAUUCGUAAGAUGA